UGGAAAAGGAGAAAAGGAGGAGAAAGGAAACCCCGGGAGCUCCCCCUGCCACGGCAGCUGGUUUGGCUUAGGAGGAGCAAAAUGUGCCCCUGGGGCUGCCCAGGGACCACCCGGGCCGGGAGAGCCCCUCGGGCUUCGGGCCGCCUGGCAGCGAUUUGUGUUUCCUAACGGCGCCGUUGUGUAACGGAGCGGUUCCCGUGGCCCGGGCACGUGUCCGGGAGCUGCGGGGACACCGGGAACCGGCCCUGCCCAACCCCCAGCCCUGGCAAAACCCCCGAGUGUCCCCCCCAGCCCUGGCAGACCCCCCGAGUGUCCCCCAGACCCCCCCAGCUGGGCAGAGGGACAAAAACGGGGACGAAGCCGCGGCUGCUCCGAUGCUUAGGGUGGGAAAUUCCCCAAACCCCAGCUCGGGGAGGGUCUUUAAAUUUCGGCAGGAAAAAAAAAAAAAAAAAACCGAGGCUGAGCCUCGUCACCCCC